UACAGAGGAGCCAAGCGUUGUCCGGAUUGACUGGGCGUAAAGCGCACGCAGGCGGACGCGCGCGUGGGGUGUGAAAUCUGGCCGCUUAACGGCCAGGCGCCAUCCCAUACGGCGGGUCUGGAGUGAUGCAGAGGGCGGUGAAUUGCCGGUGUAGUGGUGAAAUGCGUAGAGAUCGGCAGGAACACCCAGGGGGAAACCAGUCGACUGGGCAUCUACGUGACGCUGAGGUGCGAGAGCGUGGGGAGCGAACCGG
rnacentral:rRNA from 1 species